rnacentral:rRNA from 1 species
GUGCCGCUCCCAAUCAGCCCGCGUUUGCCCCAGCCUCCUAUCGCACGGAAACGGAGUCCUGCUGGGGUCUCCUUAACUGGGGGUUCCAGCGCUUCCGCGCACAACGUGCGCUUACGGACCGUCCGUGGACGUUACUGUGAACAAAACAGCGUGUUCAAAGCAAGUGGCUUGCCUGCCCUGCAUGUUAAAGCAUGGAAUAACAAGGCAUCGACCACUCGGCGGUGCUUUUGUUGGUCUUUCCCUCCCGGUGGGAAUGCGCAGGCGUGCACACUGCCGGCCUUCUGGCCGGUCUGGGUGCCGUCUCUUCGAGAUCAAUAGGGGCAAACGGGGAGAUACCUAUUGAGGGGAGAGCGGUGAAAUGCGAUGACCCCCAUAAGAGGAACUUCAGCGAAAGCAGUUCUCAAGACUGCCUUCGUUAAUCAAGAACGAGACUGUGGGGAUCAAAGAUGAUCAGAUACCGUCGUAGUCCACUAGCGUAAACGAUGCCGACUCAUCAUUGGGGG